rnacentral:rRNA from 1 species
UACGUAGGGUGCGAGCGUUAAUCGGAAUUACUGGGCGUAAAGCGUGCGCAGGCGGUUUUGUAAGCCAGAUGUGAAAUCCCCGGGCUUAACCUGGGAAUGGCAUUUGGGACUGCAAGGCUCGAGUGCGGCAGAGGAGACUGGAAUUCCUGGUGUAGCAGUGAAAUGCGUAGAUAUCAGGAGGAACACCGAUGGCGAAGGCAGGUCUCUGGGCUGACACUGACGCUCAUGCACGAAAGCGUGGGGAACAAACAGG